CUAGGUCAAAAGCCAAGUAGCGACUCGAGAGUGAAAGCGACGGCAAGAGAUGGCGGAGGAGGAGAAAGAGUGGGAGGACUGGUGCUUCAUCUGCAAAGAGGGUGGGAACCUAAUGCUCUGCGACUACAAGGACUGUCCGAAAGCUUAUCAUGCCUCUUGCGUUGAAAAUGAUAUUUCAGCUGGAUAGAGUGACGAUUCUUCUUAUAUCUGCGGUAAAAAAAAUGGCACAGUUGCUACUUGUGUGGGAAGAAACCGAAGCUACUCUGUCUCUGUUGCCCAAAUUCUGUAUGUGAAGGCUGUGUCACUCAUGCUGAGUUUAUUCAACUUAGAGAGAAUAAAGGGUUAUGCAACCAGUGCCAGGAGUAUGUGGUUGUUUUAGAAGAGAUUCAAAAGUAUGAUGCUGCUGAGGAUAAGCUCGACCUGACUGAUACAAAUACAUUUGAGUGUUGGGAGAUGGCAAAACAACAAGUCACAGAACAUAGUCGCCAAGCUGAAGCACGCAGUUCACAAAGGAAAGUUGCCAAGUUAAAGCACAAAGAUGAUCGCAGAUCUUCACUCAAUGAUGCAUGCACUUCAAAGUCACAGAACAUAGUCGCCAAGCUGAAGCACGCAGUUGAUAGUAAGCAUCCACUAUCUGACCACAAAGUUGAUGAUGCAGAAGAUUGUAAAACGGUGGGCAAAAACAAGAACAUGGUGUUUAUCAAACGGUGGGCAAAAACAAGAACAUGGUGUUUAUCAGAUGGGGUUCAAAGCCCCUCAUUGAUUUCCUAACAUCAAUAGGGGAAGAUACCAGACGUGCAAUGUCACAGCGUAGAUUGCACGUCUACGUUGUGAUGAGAAGCUGUACUCUAUCUUCGGGAAGAGGUCUGUGAAACAAAGAAAGAUUCAUAGACUUUUAGAUGCUCACUUCACAGACAACCUUGAGCAGUUGGAAUGUAACACACGUUCGGAACGUGGCUUCAGUGGAAAGAAUGAAAGGGUUUCCCUGCCGUUCAAGAAGAAGCAGAGAGUAGAAAGGUCACAUGAGAAGGAAGUGAAACCUCAAAUCUGGCCAACCAGACCUGUGAAAAUGAAGUGAAACCUGAAAUGAAGCCAACGGACACUUGUGUAAAGGAAGCGAAACCUGAAAUGCGGCCAACUGGUUACGCUGCAAUCAAUGCAGAUAAUGGAAAGCGUGUUUAUCUGCGGAAGAGUUUAGUUCUAGAGUUAUUGAAGAAGCAUAAAGAGGGAAAAAGGUAGUGGGGAAAGUGAAGAAUGCCCUAGGGACCGUAUAGCGUACCAGAUCUUGCAGGUUACAGGCAUUAAAACUGCUGAUGACCAAAGUCAGGGCCUGCUUCUCUGUCUCUGUUGCCCACAUUCUGUAUGUGAAGGUUGUGUUAGUCGUGCUGAGUUUAUUCACCUGAAAGAGAAUAAAUGGUUAUGCAAUCAGUGCCAGGAGUAUGUUGUUAUUUUAGAAGAGAUUCAAAAGUAUGAUGCUGCUGGGGUGGGAAUGUUUGUUGCGUUAGCCAUCGUUUUGCGUUCUAAACCUGAGGCUUUGACUACUGUCUUGCCGACUCUGAGAGUGAAUCAGUCCUAAGUAUCAGGGACACGACAAGCUUCCCUUUACUGUUUGGAUGAUGGCUCAGGCCUCCUCCCGAGGUGAUCUAUGUCUUGGCUUGUAUUCAUGGUCACAUAACUUGCUACGCUAGUCAGAGUCAGUAGUAAGAAGCGUUGAUGUAUCCCUCAGUCAUUGGAUCUCAUCCUUCAAUUCGUUGAGGAGACUCGGUCGCGUCCAAGGGCUCGGACCAUACUUGUAGAUGGAGGUCUUACGGAAGGAGAGCCGCUGAAUCCACUUACUUCGUUUGAGAUCUUGGUGCGUCGCACAUUCCAGCUUCAGACGAUGUGAAGUAUGUGACUCAUCAAGGAAUGGAAUUGUUACAUGAGGGAGUCCGUUACCUGGUUAGUUCUCGUACUAAUAGCUUCCUGUGUCUUGUGAACUUGGGCUUGAAUCUGGUGCAAAUGCAAUCAUUUCAAAUGGAAGGGUGAGUUUUCCUGUGGAUGAGAGGACAUUUAUGAGUCAUGAUUUGCACCUUCUUGAGUCAAUGGAGAUCAAUCGAAGGGUAAAAGCCCUGUUCAAGAAAUUAUUGAAGGGUGUGGAUCCUGAUUGACUGACUAGUACAUAUUUUAGCCAUGUCUUCAUGCUUGGGUCAUCUGCAAUGUUAACAUGGGACCGUAGUUCUGAAAGUGCACGAUUUGAGGUGUUGAGUUCGGAAUACAGGUAUGCAUACAGGGUUUCUGGAGAGAACAUUUACGUGGUAGGCCAUACUAGACCAACUAACUUCACUGGAGAGACAGCGGCAGGAGAUUAUCUAAGAGACGCUUAGCAAGGAUCCAAACAGUUUAUCCAAUCUAAGAUCA